rnacentral:rRNA from 1 species
GACGAACGCUGGCGGCGUGCCUAAUACAUGCAAGUUGAGCGCUGAAGGUUGGUACUUGUACCAACUGGAUGAGCAGCGAACGGGUGGGUAACGCGUGGGGAAUCUGCCUUUGAGCGGGGGACAACAUUUGGAAACGAAUGCUAAUACCGCAUAAAAACUUUAAACACAAGUUUUAAGUUUGAAAGAUGCAAUUGCAUCACUCAAAGAUGAUCCCGCGUUGUAUUAGCUAGUUGGUGAGGUAAAGGCUCACCAAGGCGAUGAUACAUAGCCGACCUGAGAGGGUGAUCGGCCACAUUGGGACUGAGACCCGGCCCAAACUCCUACGGGAGGCAGCAGUAGGGAAUCUUCGGCAAUGGACGAAAGUCUGACCGAGCAACGCCGCGUGAGUGAAGAAGGGUUUCGGAUCGUAAAACUCUGUUGGUAGAGAAGAACGUUGGUGAGAGUGGAAAGCUCAUCAAGUGACGGUAACUACCCAGAAAGGGACGGCUAACUACGUG